GGAGGCAAGCCUCUCACACACCAAGAACCUCCGCCACUGGUUAUGAUGAUUUCAGUUAUUCGUGUUCUGAUGCGUUCUUACAGUGCACUGAUUCGUUCUGAAUCAACUUGAUAGAUUGAGCACGGUAAUUUUAGCGGCUGCUACGAGUUUGAAGCGUCUACCUUUUGUAUCUUUCGACCGAUCAGACUUCUAGUGAUUCCAAUCCAUCAUAUCUGUCUGAUAACUUCUUCCUGCAGCAAUGGCGAGGUAGUCGAUCGAUUACUAAUUUGCUCUCUUGCUUUAUCAUGAAUGAUGGAUCAAACUAUUCAGGUAAUGCUUUUCUGUGAGAAUUCUUAGGCGCUUAUGGAGCAAACGAAAUUUGAUCAGUACGUCGAAAUUAGGGAUGUUGUCGUUGUGGUGUGGGAGGAUUCAUUGCUUUAUGCAUGAGUAGGACCGAUUUUUGUGUUUCAGUGGCCAUAGUUUUCUUACAUUAUCAUGUUAUUUCAUAAAUAGGAUGAAACGAUUAGAAAAGUAUAUACCGUUAGAAGUAUUUACAUCUUGUUGUAUAAAUUGAAGGAUCUUAAUUGCAGUAUUAACAAUGGUAUGGGGAUUAGUUUUUUAUUUUAUGAAAACAUCGUUCUGGAAAUUGAUGGAAUCUAAUGAUUCCUGGUGGAUUACAAGGUCUUCCUCAGGUUAGUAGAAUUGCUAAUUUGAAGUCAUAGUGUCCAUGUUACUGUAAGUUGAUAUAUAUUUGAAUUGUUAUUAAGUAAAUUUUCAUUCCCUUGUCAUGUUUCUUUUAAUUUGCAUCUGAUGGGUUGAGCCGCAUAAACUUUGACCACAGGCCGUAGCUGAUCAGGUCCUGAAUUAUUAGAUGCGUUUAGGAUUACCCUUCCACCUUUGAUGUUUUUUGCUGCAAAAAGGCAAUUUGUCUACUAUUUAUUUUCUUUAUGGUUACAUUGUUACGUUACAGGAACUGCAUUGAAGACAUUGAUAUUAUCUGUUAAAGAGAAAGCAUAAAGAAAUUCAUGACAGAUAAAUUUAUAAUAUUUUACUUAUAGUAUUUUACAGUUGCAUGCAGACUGAAGAAUUGAUAAAAUGAGGGGCUCCCUGUAUUCAAAAUCGUCAUUGAGUACAAAACUCGUACAUGUGGCAACAGUCAGGAAGAGUAAUAAAUGAAAGACAGAAAAUGCAUCAGUAAGAAGAAAAUCGUAUUGGCCAUUUGCUGCUGUUGGAUCCUACAAGUGCAUGCAUAAGCUGUCCACCCAUUCAUCUCUCCAAUAUUACAGUUCACGAGAUCAUCAGAGCUUAAAGAUAUAACGUUUUCUGUGCAACAGAUUACCUCCAACAUGCAGUAUUUCCUGUGCUCUUAUCCCCUUUCUAUUAAUUGUCCAUGCUGCAAAAACGGCUGUUCUUCAUCUGUAGGAAGGCACAGCGAAAAGUUACACAAUAAUUUGUGAUUGUGAUAUACAUUUCUGCUUAAUCCUUAAAACAUUAUGGUGACCGUGAUCACCAAUUGUGCAAACAAUCCUCAUUGAAA